UUUAUUAAUGAUAAUCCAUCAAAUAUAAUGUCCCAGAAUAACAUUACUGGUGUUUCAUUAACCAUAAGGUACAAUGGGAUUUGCAACUGCAUUUUACAGAGUAACUUACUUUUGCCACAUGUGUUGUUUUGCUCUGUAGGAUAUUAAACAAGGUGUUGAAUACAACACUCGAAAAUUUUAUAUUACCUGUCUGUUGAAUAUUUCAUUGAAUUUAUCUUUUUAGUGCAUUUAAAUAUC